rnacentral:rRNA from 1 species
CCUANGGGGGGCAGCAGUGAGGAAUAUUGGUCAAUGGGCGCAAGCCUGAACCAGCCAAGCCGCGUGCAGGAUGAAGGCCUUCGGGUUGUAAAGCUCUUUCAGCCGGAAAGAAAUCGCACAUGCUAAUACUAUGUGUGGAUGACGGUACCGGAAGAAGAAGCACCGGCUAACUACGUGCCAGCAGCCGCGGUAAUACGUAGGGUGCGAGCGUUAAUCGGAAUUACUGGGCGUAAAGCGUGCGCAGGCGGUUUUGUAAGACAGACGUGAAAUCCCCGGGCUUAACCUGGGAACUGCGUUUGUGACUGCAAGGCUAGAGUACGGCAGAGGGGGGUAGAAUUCCACGUGUAGCAGUGAAAUGCGUAGAUAUGUGGAGGAAUACCGAUGGCGAAGGCAGCCCCCUGGGUCGAUACUGACGCUCAUGCACGAAAGCGUGGGGAGCAAACAGGAUUAGAUACCCCUNUANUC